rnacentral:rRNA from 1 species
CACUCCUGCGGGAGGCAGCAGUGGGGAAUAUUGCACAAUGGGCGCAAGCCUGAUGCAGCCAUGCCGCGUGUAUGAAGAAGGCCUUCGGGUUGUAAAGUACUUUCAGCGGGGAGGAAGGCAAUACGGUUAAUAACCGUGUUGAUUGACGUUACCCGCAGAAGAAGCACCGGCUAACUCCGUGCCAGCAGCCGCGGUAAUACGGAGGGUGCAAGCGUUAAUCGGAAUUACUGGGCGUAAAGCGCACGCAGGCGGUCUGUCAAGUCGGAUGUGAAAUCCCCGGGCUCAACCUGGGAACUGCAUUCGAAACUGGCAGGCUUGAGUCUUGUAGAGGGGGGUAGAAUUCCAGGUGUAGCGGUGAAAUGCGUAGAGAUCUGGAGGAAUACCGGUGGCGAAGGCGGCCCCCUGGACAAAGACUGACGCUCAGGUGCGAAAGCGUGGGGAGCAAACAGGAUUAGAAACCCCAGUAGUCCCAU